UACAGAGGGGGCAAGCGUUGUUCGGAAUUACUGGGCGUAAAGGGCGCGUAGGCGGCCUUCUAAGUCGAACGUGAAAUCCCCGGGCUCAACCCGGGAACUGCGUCCGAUACUGGAAGGCUUGAAUCCGGGAGAGGGAUGCGGAAUUCCAGGUGUAGCGGUGAAAUGCGUAGAUAUCUGGAGGAACACCGGUGGCGAAGGCGGCAUCCUGGACCGGUAUUGACGCUGAGGAGCGAAAGCCAGGGGAGCAAAGCGGG
rnacentral:rRNA from 1 species